rnacentral:siRNA from 1 species
AAAGUGUGAGUUCUACGUCCCA